AACGGCUCACCUAGGCGACGAUCCCUAGCUGGUCUGAGAGGAUGACCAGCCACACUGGAACUGAGACACGGUCCAGACUCCUACGGGAGGCAGCAGUGGGGAAUAUUGCACAAUGGGCGCAAGCCUGAUGCAGCCAUGCCGCGUGUAUGAAGAAGGCCUUCGGGUUGUAAAGUACUUUCAGCGGGGAGGAAGGGAGUAAAGUUAAUACCUUUGCUCAUUGACGUUACCCGCAGAAGAAGCACCGGCUAACUCCGUGCCAGCAGCCGCGGUAAUACGGAGGGUGCAAGCGUUAAUCGGAAUUACUGGGCGUAAAGCGCACGCAGGCGGUUUGUUAAGUCAGAUGUGAAAUCCCCGGGCUCAACCUGGGAACUGCAUCUGAUACUGGCAAGCUUGAGUCUCGUAGAGGGGGGUAGAAUUCCAGGUGUAGCGGUGAAAUGCGUAGAGAUCUGGAGGAAUACCGGUGGCGAAGGCGGCCCCCUGGACGAAGACUGACGCUCAGGUGCGAAAGCGUGGGGAGCAAACAGGAUU
rnacentral:rRNA from 1 species